rnacentral:rRNA from 1 species
GACGAACGCUGGCGGCGCGCUUAGCACAUGCAAGUCGAACGGAAAGGCCUGCUUUCCCUUGUGGAUUGCGGGUACUCGAGUGGCGAACGGGUGAGUAACACGUGAGUGAUCUGCCCCCAACUUGGGUAUAAGCCUGGGAAACUGGGUCUAAUUCCCGAUAGGACUGCAGGGUGGUGCCUGUGGUGGAAAACGAUUUUCUAGUGGUUGGGGAUGAGCUCGCGGCCUAUCAGCUUGUUGGUGGGGUAAUGGCCUACCAAGGCGGCGACGGGUAGCCGGCCUGAGAGGGUGGACGGCCACAUUGGGACUGAGAUACGGCCCAGACUCCUACGGGAGGCAGCAGUGGGGAAUAUUGCACAAUGGGCGGAAGCCUGAUGCAGCGACGCCGCGUGGGGGAUGACGGCCUUCGGGUUGUAAACUCCUUUCGACCGCGAGGAAGCCACCUGGUUGGAAGGGUGGUGACGGUAGUGGUAGAAGAAGCACCGGCUAACUACGU